rnacentral:tRNA from 1 species
UCCCUGGUGGCUCAGACGGUAAAGCGUCUGUCUGCCUGUAAGGCGGGAGACCCAGGUUCGAUCCCUGGGUGGGGAA